CAUUGCUUAAUGCUAAAUUGUUGCCACAUUAGAGAAACAAGGGUAAUGGCCAACAGCCUACUGAUCUGCAACUUUGGAUGACUACACACACCAAGGACGGGCAAUGGUCAAAUGAAGAUUCUAGAGAUGUCUAUGAAAGUGCAUGCAUCCAAGUUACAGAGGCAGAAAAAGGGAUGGAUAGGCCCUUCCUUACAGUUGAGGAGGAAAACACAGUUUUCCAACGCAACAACUCUAAAACUCUUGGAACAAAAUCAUAUAGGUGUCAUGGACGUGGAUACAUGGCAAAAAAUCCAACACGAAGCGCUCUACUGAAACAAAGAGAAGAAGAUGCAGCCCGUUAUGAAGUUUAAGCCCGACAAGAAAGAAUGCAGCACCAAAAAGAGGUUGAAGAAUUAAAAGAAAAGUUUGAAAGUGCAAAUUCAGCAAGGGAAAGAGAUAGGGAAGAAAAUAAGAAACAAAUUGAAAAAAUGAGGGAUGAAUUCCAGUCAACACUACAACAACAAAUACAAUUAGCAUUGCAGCAGGCUAUCCCAGGACUCAUCAACACCACAAAAGUUCCAAGCGGCCCAAGUGUCGACAACAACUUCAUCACACCACAACUUAUAGAGGAUGAAGCUAUAAAG